rnacentral:rRNA from 1 species
GUUAGGAAUAUUGGACAAUGGGCGCAAGCCUGAUCCAGCCAUGCCGCGUGAGUGAUGAAGGCCUUCGGGUUGUAAAGCUCUUUAGCCGAUGAUUAUAAUGACUGUAGUCGGAAAAUAAGCCCCGGCUAACUUCGUGCCAGCAGCCGCGGUAAUACGAAGGGGGCGAGCGUUAUUCGGAAUCACUGGGCGUAAAGCGUGCGUAGGCGGUUUUGUAAGUUAGGAGUGAAAGCCCAGGGCUCAACCCUGGAAUUGCUCUUAAAACUACAAGGCUAGAAUGUCGGAGAGGAUAGCGGAAUUUCCAGUGUAGCAGUGAAAUGCGUAGAUAUUGGAAGGAACACCAGUGGCGUAAGCGGCUAUCUGGACGACUAUUGACGCUGAGGCACGAAAGCGUGGGGAUCAAACAGGAUUAGAAACCCUAGUAGUCC